rnacentral:lncRNA from 1 species
CCAGGACUGAAGGGGUCAUGCAGUGUUUUGGAGAUGCCAGUACCAUGAGAUGACCACCAAGAGCAGCAGCAACAGCAGUGGAGUACAGGCAUCUGCAGCCUAUAGGAUGACGCGUGUGCUACAAAGGGCAUGGCUGGAGAAGUGACCCAAGCCCUUGGAGGAGCCCAGAAGAUCUUAAGUUGGACCCAGACAUUGGACGGUUGGAGAUUGACUUUUGCUUUUGAUUGUGGCUGUGCCCUGAUAUUUUCCCUCUUGAAUUUCUGACAGUCACAGGACUCAUUAGAGGAUAAAUGGAAGAAAUGUUGAAGAGAGGCCCAGACUGCCAUCAGUUGUUAGGGAAGCAUCCAAAACGAAUGAUGAACAAGCAGAGGAGAUGCUUAGCCUCCCACAAUGCAAUGGAGGAGAGGGAAGUAGUUCUUGUGAACAAACGUGUGAUGAACAAGAGCCCCAGGAUGACCUGCCCUCAUCCCUGAGACAAGAAGCAGGAGCACAGCAACCCACACGUGAAAAGAAGUGUUCCUGUGUCAUGUGUUCCCCAACAUAUGUGCCAGAAGACCUGGAAGCAAGGAUGGGAAGCAGCCAAGGAGGUGGCAGAAUAGCUGUUUUCCAGGCAGCUUUCAAGAG